rnacentral:rRNA from 1 species
AUUGAACGCUGGCGGCAGGCCUAACACAUGCAAGUCGAACGAGUGGCGGACGGGUGAGUAAUGUCUGGGAAACUGCCUGAUGGAGGGGGAUAACUACUGGAAACGGUAGCUAAUACCGCAUACCAUCAGAUGUGCCCAGCUGGGAUUAGCUAGUUGGUGGGGUAACGGCUCACCAAGGCGACGAUCCCUAGCUGGUCUGAGAGGAUGACCAGCCACACGGGAACUGAGACACGGUCCAGACUCCUACGGGAGGCAGCAGUGGGGAAUAUUGCGCAAUGGGCGCAAGCCGGAUGCAGCCAGGCCGCGGGAAUGAAGAAGGCCUUCGGGUGGUAAAGUACUGUCAGCGGGGAGGCGUUACCCGCAGAAGAAGCACCGGCUAACUCCGUGCCAGCAGCCGCGGUAAUUC